GCGUGAGCGAUGAAGGCCUUCGGGUUGUAAAGCUCUUUUGACAGGGAUGAGGAAGGACAGUACCUGUGGAAUAAGUCUCGGCUAACUACGUGCCAGCAGCCGCGGUAACACGUAGGAGACAAGCGUUAUCCGGAUUUACUGGGUGUAAAGCGCGUGCAGGCGGUAGGAUAAGUUGGAUGUGAAAGCUCCUGGCUUAACUGGGAGAGGUCGUUCAAGACUGUCUUACUAGAGUGCAGCAGAGGGGAGUGGAAUUCCGAGUGUAGCGGUAAAAUGCAU
rnacentral:rRNA from 1 species